AAUGAACGCUGGCGGCGCGCCUAAUACAUGCAAGUCGAGCGAGAAGACGUAGCAAUACGUUUGUAAAGCGGCGAACGGGUGAGGAAUACAUGGGUAACCUACCCUCGAGUGGGGAAUAACUAGCCGAAAGGUUAGCUAGUACCGCGUACGCUCCUUGGACUUCGGUUCAGGGAGGAAAGCGAUACCGUGGGUAUCGCGCUCUUGGUUGGGCUCAUGUCCUAUCAGCUUGUUGGUGAGGAACGGCUCACCAAGGCUUCGACGGGUAGCUGGUCUGAGAGGACGAUCAGCCACACUGGCACUGCGACACGGGCCAGACUCCUACGGGAGGCAGCAGUAAGGAAUAUUGCGCAAUGGGCGAAAGCCUGACGCAGCGACGCCGCGUGGGGGAUGAAGGUCUUCGGAUUGUAAACCCUUCGGUAGGGAAGAU
rnacentral:rRNA from 1 species